UCCCUAGAGGUCCAGUGGUUAGGACAUUGGCGCUUUCACUGCUGGGGCCUGGGUUCAACCCCUGGUUGGGGAA
rnacentral:tRNA from 1 species